AUCAUUUGCAAUCAAUACAAACAAAUUCCCUUUGUGGAUUGAGAUAGAAAAUAAUCAAAAUCAAAUUGUUAUAUUCACAAAACAAAGAUAAAAAAAGAAGUAGAUUCUAGUUAAAUUUCAUUAUUAUCUUCUUCAAAUAUCUUCGUCAAUCUAAAUUAGUGGUCUCUAGUGCCAUUUCCUUUUUCUUUUGUGGUCUUUUUAUCUAUUAGAUCAAAAGUUGGGAAAGGCCCGAAAUUAUCAGAACCUAAAACCCCAACAAAGCCCUUUUUCCACUUCGCCGGUAGAAACUAACUCAUCUCCCUCGAUCCCAAAAAUGGCCUCUUUCGCCGCCAGGUCUGUUCUCCGCUCCGCCACUUCCUCCGCCAGAAACGCCGCCACUAGACUCGCCGCCGGCGCCAAGCCCAAGGCUGCUUCUUCUCCCUUUCGCAUCCCUACUCAAAAAGCCCUCACUGCUCGCAUUUUCAGGUCGCCUGUUGAAAUGAGUUGUGCAGUGGAAACUAUGCUUCCUUAUCAUACUGCUACUGCUUCCGCUUUGCUGACUUCAAUGCUCUCUGCUACUCCGAGGAGUUAUGGUUGGACUCUUGAAGAUUGCAAUGAUGAUCUAUGAUGAAUGUCGGAGGGUUCAAGCGAAGUUUAAUGUCCCCACACACUGAGAGAAUGUCUGAAAAAUAGAGUACUGUAUGAGCUCUGAUGCAGAAACACAUAUUUUCUUCUGUGACUUUCAUUUGAUUUAUCAUCCCAAUCUUCCCAUUUGGCCUGUUCUAGUAAAUUCUGGCUUCGUUUGGAGUAUUUAUUUGGUUUUAUUUUUUAGUUCAAACUCCUUUGGAGCUUCGAGGCUUAUGACUAUAUGAGAAAAAUGAGUAAACGAGUAGAACUCAAGAUGGAUGAUUGUUAAAAUGUUUUGGGACGCGGUGCAUGUUUUCAUAGUGCAACGGAUCUAUAUUGAUGGUGUAACAAUAGAGCUCGAGUUUUCUUCUUGAUGUAUUGUGGAGUGAAAUGAUGUUCUUUGUUUCCCCUGGCACACACAAGGGUUUCAUUAACAAAAAGAGAUACAUAUAAGUUUUUCUAUAUGGAGUAGAUGUCUGUUAAUUUAAGUUCGCAUCCGGUAAGAGUAUCAGAGCUGCGUAGAGUAUUCAACUAUUCAAGCAUCUGCAAUGAUGCUAAUGAAGUUUCUUUGGCUUUUUCUUUUUCCUUUUAGAAAGGUUUUCAUAUUCAGAUUUCCUUUGCUGCUGACUCUUGUUCUUUUUAUUGAGUUAAGAAGGACGAUAAGGUCAAAACAA